UACGUAGGGGGCUAGCGUUGUCCGGAAUCAUUGGGCGUAAAGCGCGUGUAGGCGGCCCGGUAAGUCCGCUGUGAAAGUCGGGGGCUCAACCCUCGAAUGCCGGUGGAUACUGUCGGGCUCGAGUACGGGAGAGGCGAGUGGAAUUCCUGGUGUAGCGGUGAAAUGCGCAGAUAUCAGGAGGAACACCAAUUGCGAAGGCAGCUCGCUGGAACGUUACUGACGCUGAGACGCGAAAGCGUGGGGAGCAAACAGG
rnacentral:rRNA from 1 species